AUCUCUACACCCAACGUGGGGCUUGAACUCACGACCCUGAGAUCAAGAAUCACAUGCUCUUUUGACUGAGGCAGCCGGGCGCCCCAGGACAGACAUCUGACCUGGGAAGAAGGGCUGCUCUGGCCAUGAAGGAGCUGUCCCCUGGACAGAGAACCGAGCCUGCCCCACCUACAGGCAACACCCAUGAUCUCUGAGCAGACUGAACACUGGGCCUCAGAGAACACAGUUUGCACAUUCUGGGCAGCCGAAAUGAUAAUCUAAAGAAGGUGCCACUGCUCGAUGGGAGAGUCCUCAGAAGAAGUCCCCUUCUCUCCGUCUCUCCUGCUCAAGCCCCAGGGGAGAGGAGGUGGUUAGGAGCAGGUGCUGCUGGGGGAGAAUUGUGGCUAGACUCUUCCUCCCCUGGAGGCCGUAGAAUAUGACUCAACAGACCAAGGUCAAAGCUGUUCUGGGCAGGAUCCCCAGCUGGGAUGACCACUGUGUGACCACUGGCUGCCCAAAGCAUCGGAUUCUCUCUGGGACAGCUGGGUUUAAGGUCAUGCGAGCCUGCUCUCCAGCGGCUGUUACUAUGGUGAUUCCAGGGCUGGUUGCUCUUCCUUCUUAGAUGGUUGGUUAGGUCCACCAUGGAACUCUUGCUUUCAAUUCCCAGAUCUACUUUUGUCUCAUAUUCCUCAUCUCAGAACUGGAACUU